rnacentral:rRNA from 1 species
UGGGGAAUAUUGGACAAUGGGCGGAAGCCUGAUCCAGCCAUGCCGCGUGUGUGAAGAAGGCCUUUUGGUUGUAAAGCACUUUAAGCGAGGAGGAGGCUCUUCUAGUUAAUACCUAGGAUGAGUGGACGUUACUCGCAGAAUAAGCACCGGCUAACUCUGUGCCAGCAGCCGCGGUAAUACAGAGGGUGCGAGCGUUAAUCGGAUUUACUGGGCGUAAAGCGUGCGUAGGCGGCUGAUUAAGUCGGAUGUGAAAUCCCUGAGCUUAACUUAGGAAUUGCAUUCGAUACUAGUCAGCUAGAGUAUGGGAGAGGAUGGUAGAAUUCCAGGUGUAGCGGUGAAAUGCGUAGAGAUCUGGAGGAAUACCGAUGGCGAAGGCAGCCAUCUGGCCUAAUACUGACGCUGAGGUACGAAAGCAUGGGGAGCAAACAGG